NNNNNCAGCCGCCGCCCGAGCAGCCCCGCCGGAGCAGCCGCCGCCCGAGCAGCCCCGCCGGAGCAGCCGCCGCCCGAGCAGCCCCGCCGGAGCAGCCGCCGCCCGAGCCGAAGCCGGCCGAGCAGAAGACCACCCAUCCUCAGUGUGUUGAACUGCGAGUCUUCUACGCUGGUUUUCAACGAAUACUUGCUCCAUCUGGCUUGAGGAUUCCAUUCUUCGCGUUUGUGGGAGACCUUUAAAAGAAAACGACGUUGAGGGUGAGUUGCUGGGGUGUGCUGC
rnacentral:lncRNA from 1 species